CCCGCUGAACUUAAGCAUAUCAAUAAGCGGAGGAAAAGAAACUAACAAGGAUUCCCCUAGUAACUGCGAGUGAAGCGGGAAAAGCUCAAAUUUAAAAUCUGGCGGUCUUUGGGCCGGCCGAAGUGGAAUCUGAAAAAACGGUUAUCCGCGCUGGACCGUGUACAAGUCUUCUGGAAGGGAGCGUCAUAGAGGGUGAGAAUCCCGUCUUUGACACGGACUGCCAAUGCUUUGGUGAGGCGCUCUCGAAAAGCCAAGUGGUUGGGAAAUGCAGUUCAAAAGGGGGGGAAAAUUCCAUCUAAGGCUAAUUAUGGGCAAAAGACCGAUGGCGAACAAGUCCCGGGAGGAAAAGAGGAAAAGAACUUUGAAAGGAGAGUUAACCAGAACGGGAAAUUGUGGAAAGGAAAACGUUGGAGGCCGGCCGCGCUGUCCGAAACUCACCCUGGCUUCCGCGCGGUCGCAUUUCGCGGUUGACGGGACAGCAUCAAUUGCGACCGCCGGAUAGGGGUAGAGGAAGCGGGACAUCUUUCGGGGUGUGAUAUAUCCCUCGAUUCGCACACCGGGAAUGGAAGUGAGGAACUCAGCGCGCCGUCAUGGACGGGGUACACAACCCACGUAACGCGCGCUGGAUGCUGGCAUAUUGUCUAUACGCGACGCGUCUUGGAACACGG
rnacentral:rRNA from 1 species